rnacentral:rRNA from 1 species
GGCGAACGGGUGAGUAACACGUGGGCAACCUGCCCCUGACUUUGGGAUAACGCUUCGAAAGAGGUGCUAAUACCGGAUAUGAGCCUCCUUGGCAUCUGGGGGGCUGGAAAGUUUUUCGGUCAAGGAUGAGCUCGCGACCUAUCAGCUAGUUGGUGAGGUAAAGGCUCACCAAGGCGACGACGGGUAGCCGGCCUGAGAGGGUGACCGGCCACACUGGGACUGAGACACGGCCCAGACUCC